rnacentral:rRNA from 1 species
GCGGAUGCUUUCACAUGCAAGUCGGACGGCAGCACAGAGAAGCUUGCUUCUUGGGUGGCGAGUGGCGAACGGGUGAGUAAUAUAUUGGAACGUACCGAGUAAUGGGGGAUAACUAAUCGAAAGAUUAGCUAAUACCGCAUACGUCCUGAGGGAGAAAGCGGGGGAUCUUCGGACCUCGCGUUAUUCGAGCGGCCAAUAUCUGAUUAGCUAGUUGGUGGGGUAAAGGCCUACCAAGGCGAUGAUCAGUAGCGGGUCUGAGAGGAUGAUCCGCCACACUGGGACUGAGACACGGCCCAGACUCCUACGGGAGGCAGCAGUGGGGAAUUUUGGACAAUGGGCGCAAGCCUGAUCCAGCCAUGCCGCGUGUCUGAAGAAGGCCUUCGGGUUGUAAAGGACUUUUGUCAGGGAAGAAAAGGUUGGCGCUAAUAUCGCUGACUGAUGACGGUACCUGAAGAAUAAGCACCGGCUAACUACGUGCCAGCAGCCGCGGUAAU